GCUGCUAUGCUGUCCACUGGGGCCCCAGGACAAGUGGCCUUCUGCAUGAGCAGAGUGGAAGCCUGACUGGGUUGCAUGUCCUGGCCCCAGUCCUGCUCUGCCACCUCUACUUCCUCCACCCACCUUCUGUAGCAUGGAUGGCAGCCAACUCCUUUUGCGGGUUCUCUCCCUGUGUCUUCUUCAGCCUGGCUUCUUUGUGCAGAGAAGAUGUUGAGAGGAAUCACAGCUUUGCUAGCUUCCCUGCUAGAACAUCAACUGCUACAUAAUUGUGGCUGUGAGGGAGCCCGCUGUCCUCCUGAUGCCUUCCACCAUGUUCUGCCCAGAAGCAAGUGACCGUGGACUGAACCUGCCAAAACUGGGAUCUCAGAUGCACCUUGUCUCCUUUAAGUUGCAUGCGUCAGGUGUUCUGUCCCUGCAACAAAAUAGGUGGAAAGGGGACAGAAGAAGAGAAGCUGCAGUAGGGAGCUCAGAGGGGCAUUUAGUUGACAUAGGAUUUCCAGAAUGAAGAUGGGAGAUUUCCAUGGCCACCUGCAUCCACAAAGGAGGAAGUCGGAGUAAGCCCAAGCUGGGAUCAUCUCUUGAAGAAAGGUGCCCUGAAGGGAAGCCGCAGACAGUAUGUGGGGUGAUUGGGAGUGGCUCCUGAGCAUAUGAGAAGAUCUGUUGGCAGUGAAGGCUGCAAGAGAGUGGGUAGUGUGGAAGGAACAAGAGAACAGAAUGGAAGGCCUUCAGGGAGGAUCCUGGGAAGGGGGACUAGGGCGCAAGAGAUGGGAGGAGCCAUGAGCAGACCUGUCACUGGGCAAGAGGUGGGUUGUUAGGGGGCUUAAGCCCCAGGCCAGGAGAGCAGAGAGUGAGUUGCACUUAUGUGUGAGGGAGAGAGGGAGGAACAGAGGGAAGGAGGCCUUGCCUGGCUGUGCCACUGUGAGCAAGAUGGGCUUAAGCUAAGAUCUGGCUGGCUGGAGAAAUCAUUCAAUUUAAUACUGUGUGUAGAGAUGGGAUAACAAAAGGAAAGAAAACUAAAAACCCAAUUUGUUUGUGACAAAUCUGCCCCUCCUCACAGUAGUUAUGACAAGCACAGAAAACUGGUGGGCAGCUACUUUCAUAGGAUGCGAGCUUAGCAUGAAGUGAAGUCCUCCUACCCUUCUGAGAUCUGCGUGGUCUGGAAGUGUUCAUGCCUCCAUCUGAUGAUGUCUGAAAGACGAGUCUGGCCCUCUCCACCUCAUGCUGCGUGUGUGGACUCUGCACCCACCUAAAGGCAGCCCCUGCUUCAGGCUCUUGGAGCCUCUCCCUCUUAGCCCCACUCCUGAGUUCACAAUGGCUAAGGUAGUGACCUCCAGGACCCUGCAGCAGCCUCUGCUCUUGUCACUCACUCGCCCAGGACACUGAUUCCAGCUCACUCUGUCUCUGUCUUGUCCCCUGUGAUUCCUUUCCUCUCCUUCUCUUUCUUCUCUUUUAGUUGUCUCAGGUAUGUUCUUCCUGCCUUUAGAGCUGUGAUUCCUGCAGACAUGGAUUAAGAAAUUCUUCCAUAAAAGGAGAUCAUGUUCUGUCAGAAGGAUUUCAUUGAGUAAAAUGUUCACCACCAACUUA